rnacentral:rRNA from 1 species
GACGAACGCUGGCGGCGUGCUUAACACAUGCAAGUCGAACGGAAAGGCCCUGCUUUUGUGGGGUGCUCGAGUGGCGAACGGGUGAGUAACACGUGAGUAACCUGCCCUUGACUUUGGGAUAACUUCAGGAAACUGGGGCUAAUACCGGAUAGGAGCUCCUGCUGCAUGGUGGGGGCUGGAAAGUUUCGGCGGUUGGGGAUGGACUCGCGGCUUAUCAGCUUGUGGGUGGGGUAGUGGCUUACCAAGGCUUUGACGGGUAGCCGGCCUGGGCGGGUGACCGGCCACAUUGGGACUGAGAUACGGCCCAGACUCCUACGGGAGGCAGCAGUGGGGAAUAUUGCACAAUGGGCGGAAGCCUGAUGCAGCAACGCCGCGUGCGGGAUGACGGCCUUCGGGUUGUAAACCGCUUUCGCCUGUGACGAAGCGUGAGUGACGGUAAUGGGUAAAGAAGCACCGGCUAACUACGUG